GACGAACGCUGGCGGCGUGCUUAACACAUGCAAGUCGAACGGUGAAGCGCCUUCCUUUUUGGUGGGUGUGGAUGAGUGGCGAACGGGUGAGUAACACGUGAGUAACCUGCCCCCUUCUUCUGGAUAACCGCAUGAAAGUGUGGCUAAUACGGGAUAUUCUGGGUCUGUCGCAUGAUGGGUCUGGGAAAGAUAUUGUUUCGGUGGGGGAUGGGCUCGCGGCCGAUCAGCUUGUUGGUGGGGUGAUGGCCUACCAAGGCGGUGACGGGUAGCCGGCCUGAGAGGGUGGACGGUCACACUGGGACUGAGACACGGCCCAGACUCAUACGGGAGGCAGCAGUGGGGAAUAUUGCACAAUGGGCGCAAGCCUGAUGCAGCGACGCCGCGUGAGGGAUGGAGGCGUUCGGGUUGUGAACCUCUUUCGCCAGUGAAGCAGGCCUGCCUCGUUUGUGGGUGGGUUGACGGUAGCUGGAUAAGAAGCGCCGGCUAACUACGUG
rnacentral:rRNA from 1 species